UUUCACUAAACCAUGAUGAAAUUCAUUUUUGUGAGACAUGACCAUGGUGUGUCAACAUUAACAAGAAGCUUACCAAACUAUCAUUUUGUAUAGGUGACACCAAAGCUCAUUUAAAGCUUUGAAACAAGACUUUGGAGCACAACACUUCUCAAGCAUCCAGCUCAUGCAAAGCCACGAUGGCAAGAAGCAGCACCUGUUCAAACCAGAAGAUGCAAAACCACUACGUGAAUGCACAUUCUACUACCUACUGACACACGCAUGCAAUAAAAAGUACAAUACCCUUGUAGACAUAAAAAAAUACUAACCAUGCAUGGUGUCACCAUUGGAUUCUAUCAGUGAAGAUGUUGUUUAUGGUUUAAAAUAAUAGCUAUAUUCGAUGAAGAAUAUGAACAGAGCUAUUAGUUUUUAGAUUAUUAUAUGUUUUAGAAUGACAGUCAAUCAGUCUUCUUUUAUUUAUUUCUA